rnacentral:rRNA from 1 species
UGGGGAAUUUUGGACAAUGGGCGCAAGCCUGAUCCAGCCAUGCCGCGUGCGGGAAGAAGGCCUUCGGGUUGUAAACCGCUUUUGUCAGGGAAGAAAUCUUCUGAGUUAAUACCUCGGGAGGAUGACGGUACCUGAAGAAUAAGCACCGGCUAACUACGUGCCAGCAGCCGCGGUAAUACGUAGGGUGCAAGCGUUAAUCGGAAUUACUGGGCGUAAAGCGUGCGCAGGCGGUUUUGUAAGACAGAGGGUGAAAUCCCCGGGCUCAACCUGGGAACUGCCUUUGUGACUGCAAGGCUUGAGUGCGGCAGAGGGGGGAUGGAAUUCCGCGUGUAGCAGUGAAAUGCGUAGAUAUGCGGAGGAACACCGAUGGCGAAGGCAAUCCCCCUGGGCCUGCACUGACGCUCAUGCACGAAAGCGUGGGGAGCAAACAGGAUUAGAUACCCUGGUAGUCC